rnacentral:rRNA from 1 species
AUUGAACGCUGGCGGAAUGCUUUACACAUGCAAGUCGAACGGCAGCACGGACUUCGGUCUGAUGGCGAGUGGCGAACGGGUGAGUAAUGUAUCGGAACGUGCCCAGUCGUGGGGGAUAACGUAGUGAAAAUUACGCUAAUACCGCAUACGAUCUAUGGAUGAAAGCGGGGGAUCGCAAGACCUCGCGCGAUUGGAGCGGCCGAUAUCAGAUUAGGUAGUUGGUGGGGUAAAGGCCCACCAAGCCAACGAUCUGUAGCUGGUCUGAGAGGACGACCGACCAUCCUGGAACUGAGACACGGUCCAGACUCCUACGGGAGGCAGCAGUGGGGAAUUUUGGACAAUGGGCGAAAGCCUGAUCCAGCCAUUCCGCGUGCAGGAUGAAGGCCCUCGGGUUGUAAACUGCUUUUGUACAGAACGAAAAGGUUUCUACUAAUACUAGGAGCUCAUGACGGUACUGUAAGAAUAAGCACCGGCUAACUACGUGCCAGCGGCCGCAGUAA